CGUGCUCUCUAUGCUUAUCCCGCAAUCAAUGUUAGCAUCAAAGGACGACUGAGAUCAAAUUUUAAAUCGGUUCCACCAACCGAUCAUCGCCAGGUGUCGUUUGAUGCGUUGGAUUCCACUACUCCCUCUUACUUUAAAGAGGUUGGUAUCUUCUCUCCCAUCACCUUGUAGAAUACAUUACCAAUUUCUCCCACACAACCCAUUUGUUUUCUCUCUGAAAGGAGUUUUUGUGAUGGCUGGGUUUGAACAACAAGUGAAAGAUAGAGCCAAGGAGCUCAAGGUCUUGCUCAAGAAAGGGGUGAAGAUUGUGGGAGAUUCAUGUAAGAAGGGUUGGAACAAAGUCAAGCAUAUCAAGCGUUGAUCAGUGAUUGUAACAACUUGCAUGGCAUAUUCAAAGUCACUUGAUUGGUUUUUUGGUAUUGGUUGUAUUAUUUCUUCAUAGGUUUCUCUUCUUCAUAUCUAUUUUUCUUCUCUCUCACCCUUUUAUUGUUUUUUUUAGGGAUAUAUUAUUUUGUUUUGUCCAUGUUUGUUUUUGUUUAAAUCUAAAUUUUUUUGUUUCUAUAUAUUAUUCUCUAUGUUCUUCCUCAGUGUUGCUACUGGCAGUUGCUGCAUGUUCCAGGAUGUUGCUGUUUUGACUCAAAAUUUGUAAUAUAAGAUGCAGGAACAGUUGUAAAUUUUCAGAUGCUGUGUUCUGGUCUACCGAGGAAUCCAUGGUUAAAAUAAAAAUUGUGAAAAUAAAAGGACAAAUGUAAAAGAUACUCAGUAAAAGUUGGCAAGGAGUUUAUGUUCUAUACU